GCGUGAGUGAUGAAGGCCCUAGGGUUGUAAAGCUCUUUUACCCGGGAAGAUAAUGACUGUACCGGGAGAAUAAGCCCCGGCUAACUCCGUGCCAGCAGCCGCGGUAAUACGGAGGGGGCUAGCGUUGUUCGGAAUUACUGGGCGUAAAGCGCACGUAGGCGGCUUUGUAAGUUAGAGGUGAAAGCCCGGGGCUUAACCCCGGAAUAGCCUUUAAGACUGCAUCGCUUGAACACGGGAGAGGUGAGUGGAAUUCCGAGUGUAGAGGUGAAAUUCGU
rnacentral:rRNA from 1 species